rnacentral:rRNA from 1 species
GACGUAGGGCGCGAGCGUUGUCCGGAUUUAUUGGGCGUAAAGAGCUCGUAGGCGGCUUGUUGCGUCAGCUGUGAAAACCCGCAGCUCAACUGUGGGCUUGCAGCUGAUACGGGCAGGCUUGAGUUCGGUAGGGGAGACUGGAAUUCCUGGUGUAGCGGUGAAAUGCGCAGAUAUCAGGAAGAACACCGGUGGCGAAGGCGGCUCACUGGCUCGUUUCUGACGCUCAGGCGCGAUAGCGUGGGGAUCAAACAGG